AUGUGUGUACAUCGGAGCAGGGACUUGGCGAAAAAAAACCCGAAGGCGCUGCUUGUUGGACUUGUGACAGAGGUCAACGGGGAGGUCGGGCAGGAACUCGCCAUGCAGCACGGGAGGCGGGAGAAAAGGCACGGAGGCGCUGCUGGAGAUGGUCGCGGUGCGCCCUACUCGUCCUUCAGGUCACUGGUGGCGGGUCCUGCUUGCCGAGGUCCGACAACCGACGCGCGGAAGCAUGGCGUGCUGCUGGUGAUGCUUGUUGCAGGAACGCACGAGGAGGAAUUAGAGGAGACCAGUUCAGCGGAGAGGAGGAUGCAGGGGAGGCCCAGGCAGCGCACGGGGCUGUUGUUGCUGCUCCAGCAAGCAGACGGCGAGUCAAGGCUCUCGGGACCCAGCGUCCAGAUCGAGUGGGGCGAAGGAGCUGCGGCCGGGAGGCUUGGGCGAUGGGCAGAGAGGCGCGACGAGGCGGAGCAAGGGCCGGCGACGAGGGGGGGCACUUGA
rnacentral:rRNA from 1 species